GGGAACUGAUGAAUUAAUUCCUCAUUUUCCUUUGCUUGUGUGUGGAUUUUGUUUUACCUAUUAAACUGUCUUUAUCUUAACCCACGGGUUUUCUUAUAUGAUUCUCUUCCCCAUGCCAUUCCAAUGGGAAAUGGAUGAGUGUCUGAGUGGGGCUUAGUUCUGGCUGCAAUUAAAUCACAAUUGUGUGUACAUAUAUAUAUAUAUUUGGUUUUUUUUAAAUUCAAGGUUUCCUUGUGUAAUACUGUCAUAUGCUGGGAUGUCUCCAAAGCACCUACUUUAGGAUGUGAAUUAGAACAGGAAUCACUGGCAGGACCUAGAAAGCAAGUACUUUUGGAUUUCUCCCUUUCUAGGCCCUUUUCUGGUUACCGGAUUCUUGUGACACAUAAAUUUAAUCUGCAGAUGCACCCUGUUCUGGAGAACUGGGUGCCCAGGUCUUGCUGCAAGGUUGGUUGUGUGCACUGGGGAAACCUGCUGAGGCUCAGCGCUCUCCCAGCUAGAGUGGGCCUGUGAGUUCCCAGAAUGGUGUUCUCGUGAGGAAGUUUAUUUGUGUUUCCAGUGGGAAGCUGGCUCCAGCCUGUUGUGUAUUUUAGCUUACAUGACACAUGGUUAAAAACAGAUAACCCAGGAAAACAGCAUCAUAAUUCCUUUGCUAUUGCUGUUUUUCUCUGCCCCCAUAAAUCUCACAUUCUUGACAAUAGUUCUAUUCGAAGAGGAAACUCAUUGACUCACAGAACUCUCUUGGGAGAUCAGCAAUAGCUUAACCCCGGUCUGGGGAAGGGCUGGGGCAGGGGCUCUUAUGUUCCUAGGGGUGGACACAAGUUAGAAAGCUGCUGUUAGGGACAUGAGAGUUGUCACCUGCUCUAAUGUUAUAGUCAAUAGCUGAGCUACCAGGGGCUCACUCUCAGGAGAUGCUGAGCUCAGAGUCUCAGUGGAAGUGUUGGUAUAUGAACUGUGUCUGGGCACAAGGACAUCAUCCUAAAUAAUGUUGCUUCCUUUAAAAACAGCUUCAUAUACUCUGUUACAUGAUAAAACUGCUAGUACUUGGUCAGCUAAGGUGUUGUGGCUAUUUCUUUACCUGAGUGACUGCUUAUUACUGGAUUUUGAAUUAUAAGCCAGUUUGCAGAAUUCUGUUCCCAUUUAGAGUGGUUUUCAUUGAGCUACACUCUGUCAUUAAUUCCACUUCAUCAUGUUACUGAGUCACGACUGUGCAACCACACCACACAUUAACAGGAAGCUCAGAAGUUUCAGUUCACCUGAGCUGGCUGUUCCCAAGAGAUAGCUGGAUACAUGUAGGUCACUGUAUAAAGUGACAGAGUUUUAUAAUAUGUAUGUGGUUUUAAACGCUGAGUUAAAAGAGUUGCCAUGUGGUGGAAGGGUUAAUAGUGGUGCCUUUGGUGCUGUGAGGCUGUGUGCACUGACAGUCUCAAUUAUCUUUCUUUUCCUCUGGUUAACUGAGUGUUCACUGCUAUUGAUAAGUCUUAUUAAUACUUCUGUUUAUGUUUUACUGAUGUUGGCAAGAGUUUUCUGAAGAAGCAAGACUGCUGGACUGACAUCUAUUGCAGUUACAUUGACACAGGUUUUUGUGUUUUUUUGUUUUUUUGUUAAUUAGUUAAUCAAUUUGGGACUG